UCCUGUUGGAGCAAGUUUCCUUCCUACAGU
rnacentral:piRNA from 1 species